rnacentral:rRNA from 4 species
GGAUAGAUGAUUGGGGUGAAGUCGUAACAAGGUAGCCGUAUCGGAAGGUGCGGCUGGAUCACCUCCUUU